UUUAAAUACAAACCAUAAGUUUUCGUAUCUAAUUUUAAUCAUCUGUCUUAUUUAAUUUUUUUUAUAAUUAAUAUUUUUAUUCUUACAAGAUAAUAAAACAUGAAUAAUACUUUAUGCGUGAUUUAUGUUUUCAAUUUUUUUAAAAAAAAUUAAAUAAGACGGACGAUAAAAAUUGGGCACGGAAAAUUAUGGUUGCACUUAAA
rfam:Oryza sativa (indica cultivar-group) chromosome 5, whole genome shotgun sequence.